rnacentral:tRNA from 1 species
GGUCGGGUGGCGGAACUGGCAGACGCGCGGGCCUUAGGAGCCCGUGCCGCAAGGCGUGGGGGUUCAAGUCCCCCCCCGACCA